AGCAAAAGAAACCAACAGGGAUUGCCCUAGUAACGGCGAGUGAAGCGGCAACAGCUCAAAUUUGAAAUCUGGCCCUCUGGGUCCGAGUUGUAAUUUGUAGAGGAUGCUUUUGGCGCGGCGCCUUCCGAGUUCCCUGGAACGGGACGCCAUAGAGGGUGAGAGCCCCGUACGGUUGGAUGCCAAACCUUUGUAAAGCUCCUUCGACGAGUCGAGUAGUUUGGGAAUGCUGCUCAAAAUGGGAGGUAAAUUCCUUCUAAAGCUAAAUACCGGCCAGAGACCGAUAGCGCACAAGUAGAGUGAUCGAAAGAUGAAAAGCACUUUGAAAAGAGGGUUAAACAGUACGUGAAAUUGUUGAAAGGGAAGCGCCUGUGACCAGACUUGGUCCCGGCGGAUCAUCCGGCGUUCUGCGCCGGUGCACUCCGCCGGGCUCCAGGCCAGCAUCGGUUCUCCCAGGGGGAUAAAAGCCGCGGGAACGUAGCUCCUUCGGGAGUGUUAUAGCCCGUGGCAUAAUGCCCUUGGGGGGACCGAGGACCGCGCUUCGGCAAGGAUGCUGGCGUAAUGGUCACUAGCGAC
rnacentral:rRNA from 1 species